rnacentral:rRNA from 1 species
GACGAACGCUGGCGGCGUGCUUAACACAUGCAAGUCGAACGGAAAGGCCCUGCUUUUGUGGUGUUCUCGAGUGGCGAACGGGUGAGUAACACGUGAGUAACCUGCCCUUGACUUUGGGAUAACUCCAGGAAACUGGGGCUAAUACCGGAGAGGAGCUCCUGCUGCAUGGUGGGGUUUGGAAAGUUUCGGCGGUUGGGUAUGGACUCGCGGCUUAUCAGCUUGUUGGUGGGGUAGUGGCUUACCAAGGCUUUGACGGGUAGCCGGCCUGAGAGGGUGACCGGCCACAUUGGGACUGAGAUGCGGCCCAGAGUCCUACGGGAGGAAGCAGUGGGGAAUAUUGCAAAAUGGGCGGAAGCCUGAUGCAGCAACGCCGCGUGCGGGAUGACGGCCUUCGGGUUGUAAACCGCUUUGGCCUGUGACGAAGCGUGAGUGACGGUAAUGGGUAAAGAAGCACCGGCUAACUACGUG